rnacentral:rRNA from 1 species
AGAGUUUGAUCAUGGCUCAGAGUGAACGCUGGCGGCGUGCUUAACACAUGCAAGUCGAACGAGAACGGACUAUAGCUUGCUAUAGUUGUCAGCUAAGUGGCGCACGGGUGAGUAAUGUAUAGGUAAUAUGCCUCUUACUAAGGGAUAACAGUUGGAAACGACUGCUAAUACCUUAUAUUCCUUUUAUGCAUAAGUAUAAAAGGGAAAGAUUUAUUGGUAAGAGAUUAGCUUGUAUUGUAUCAGUUAGUUGGUGAGGUAAUGGCUCACCAAGACAAUGACGCAUAACUGGUUUGAGAGGAUGAUCAGUCACACUGGAACUGAGACACGGUCCAGACUCCUACGGGAGGCAGCAGUGGGGAAUAUUGCACAAUGGACGGAAGUCUGAUGCAGCAACGCCGCGUGGAGGAUGACACAUUUCGGUGCGUAAACUCCUUUUAUAUGAGAAGAUAAUGACGGUAUUAUAUGAAUAAGCACCGGCUAACUCCGUGCCAGCAGCCGCGGUAAUACGGGGGGUGCAAGCGUUACUCGGAAUCACUGGGCGUAAAGAGCAUGUAGGCGGAUUGAUAAGUUUGAAGUGAAAUCCUAUAGCUUAACUAUAGAACUGCUUUGAAAACUGUUAAUCUAGAAUGUGGGAGAGGUAGAUGGAAUUUCUGGUGUAGGGGUAAAAUCCGUAGAUAUCAGAAGGAAUACCGAUUGCGAAGGCGAUCUACUGGAACACUAUUGACGCUGAGAUGCGAAAGCGUGGGGGGCAAACAGGAUUAGAUACCCUGGUAGUCCACGCCCUAAACGAUGUACACUAGUUGUUGUGAGGCUAGACCUUGCA